rnacentral:rRNA from 1 species
GAUGAACGCUGGCGGCGUGCCUAAUACAUGCAAGUCGAACGAACAGACGAGUAGCUUGCUCCUCUGACGUUAGCGGCGGACGGGUGAGUCACACGUGGAUUACCUACCUAUAAGACUGGGAUAACUGCGGGAAACGGGAGCUAAUCCCGUAUAAUCUAUUGAACCGCAUGGUUCAAUAGUGAAAGACGGUUUUGCUGUCGCUGAUGGAUUGUUCCGCGGCGCAUUAGCUAGUUGGUGAGGUAACGGCUUACCAAGGCACCGCCGGGUAGCCGGCAUGAGAGGGUGGACGGCCACAUUGGGACUGAGAUACGGCCCAGACUGCUACGGGAGGCAGCAGUGGGGAAUAUGGCACAAUGGGGGCAAGCCUGAUGCAGCGACGCCGCGUGGGGGAUGACGGCCUUCGGGUUGUAAACUCCUUUCGCUAGGGACGAAGCGGAAGUGACGGUACCUGGAGAAGAAGCACCGGCUAACUACGUG